rnacentral:lncRNA from 1 species
GAAGGAAAUAAAUGGAUCUGCAACCCAUUCCUUAUUGGAUGGAUCGUAUUUGCUCGCUGGUACUCAACUGGAAAGGAAAGAAAAAGUACUGAAAAUAACUCGUUGGCAGAACCAUGAAACAAUCCAAAGGUGCGAGCCGAAGAUCGAAGUGAGAAGGGCAAGCAUGUCAUAAUUAAAGGGUAUUCUCUCGUUGCCAUCGAAGCAGCUUUAAUAUAAGUAAUCUAAAGAGGGUAAAGGGCUGAAUAUUCAUGUGAUCUAUCAAGUUUAGGAGAGUCUUUAUAAAUCUUUACCUCCCCCCUUAGUAAAGUGCUCCUUUCUCUUAAGGGA